rnacentral:rRNA from 7 species
GCCUACGGCCAUCCCACCCUGGUAACGCCCGAUCUCGUCUGAUCUCGGAAGCUAAGCAGGGUCGGGCCUGGUUAGUACUUGGAUGGGAAGACCUCCUGGGAAUACCGGGUGCUGUAGGCU